CCCUUAGCUGUUCUGGGCCGCACGCGCGCUACACUGAUGCAUUCAACGAGCCUAUCCUUGACCGACAGGUCCGGGUAAUCUUUGAAUCUGCAUCGUGACGGGGAUAGAUUAUUGCAAUUAUUAAUCUUCAACGAGGAAUGCCUAGUAGGCGCAAGUCAUCAGCUUGCGUCGAUUACGUCCCUGCCCUUUGUACACACCGCCCGUCGCUCCUACCGAUUGGGUGUGCUGGUGAAAUGUUCGGAUCGGCCGUUUGUCGCGGUUUCCGCGGCUCGUGGCUGAGAAGUUCAUUAAACCCUCCCACCUAGAGGAAGGAGAAGUCGUAACA
rnacentral:rRNA from 1 species